UACGUAGGGUGCGAGCGUUGUCCGGAAUUAUUGGGCGUAAAGAGCUUGUAGGCGGUCUGUCGCGUCUGCUGUGAAAAUCCGGGGCUCAACCCCGGACUUGCAGUGGGUACGGGCAGACUAGAGUGUGGUAGGGGAGACUGGAAUUCCUGGUGUAGCGGUGAAAUGCGCAGAUAUCAGGAGGAACACCGGUGGCGAAGGCGGGUCUCUGGGCAUUAACUGACGCUGAGGAGCGAAAGCAUGGGGAGCGAACAGG
rnacentral:rRNA from 1 species